GGUGCCUUUAAUUAAAUCCAGAGUCCACUUAAAUGAGUUUCUUACUCACUAAUACAGUAUCAGGCAGCUGUAACAUAAAGAAACAUUACAAAUAGUGCAUUUUUCAGCAUAAUUGCAGGUGAAGAGCAAGCAGGUCAGGGCUCAAGCAAUUCAAAGGUCUUGGUGUUUGUAGGCACUCUUUGUUGUUGACUUUAAAUUUACUGGUGUAAUUUAGUUUGCUCCAUAGAGGUCCCUCUAGCCAUCAAUCACUGAUGAAGCGUUGUGUGCUGUAAUAAUUUGAUAGUGAUAAUGGUAGUCAGGGAAAAGCAAAACAAAGCAAGCAAAAUCCACUCGUGCUGUUCUUGCGACUUGAUUGGAUUAGAGGCUACCUGGGAUGGUGGCUGUGUUGCUGCAAGUGUUACCUGCUCAUAUAAAAGCAAGCUUUAGAUGUGUAGUUGCUAUCCAGAGGACUUCUGUAAGCAGCUGCUGCCCUGAUUUAGGCCUGCUGGCUGCUCCUGAGGCAGCAAGGAGCUCGCUACUGCUGAGCAGGAGACGUGCACUGCUUCCCUGCAGGCUGCACCUGUGAACAUGGGAGUGCAACUCAGUAAGGAGCCCUUCAUUGUGGUUUACAAAAAAACCUCCAAGAGGGUGCAGAAAGAAGUUCCAGAGGCUGCUGCGACACAUCCUUCAAAGUCUGAGGACUUCCAGGAUGCUGCCAAAGAGCCGGCCAAGGGAACCAGUCAGCACUGCCAGGCUUCUCCAGAUGAGAGAACAAGACUGUGAAAGUGAUCAAGAGCAAAUCCUCUGUGCAGGAGGGAUGGGGAGGAAACUGCUUAUAAGAACUGCCCUUCUGUACAUUGCAUCAUGGACUGGUUAAUGGCCAACGGCAGGUAUUCAUGGCUUUAAUUGGAAAUGGCCUUACUCGGAGAUGGACAUCUUUCCCUUGUGCUGGUAUCCCAUGCCUUGAGACACCUACUCCUAGCAGAUGCAUAUCUUAACCAGACCAACUCUGGUCCAUGUAUAUAUGAAAUUGUUACCCUGCUAGAAGCUGUCUGUUAUGAUCUGGAGACAUACUGAGUUUAAAAUGAGUACCUCACGUGCAGUAUUACAUAGCAUCAAUGAGGUUCCUGAAUGCAUUGAGCCCUGUGCUACCAAGACUUGUUCAAGACAGAUAGUUCUACUGGUCUCGCAACUUUAACACAAAUGAAGUUGUUUGAAAGAUGCAGUGUCAGUAUAAUGAAGACAAAUGCAGGAACUGGAGAAGCCUGAGCUCUGUAAGGGGUGUUCUGUAACCUGAGUGUUUAUAACCUGGACGUCAUCCAAUUAUCAUUGAAGCAAUUAUUUUGGUAAUGCUCUAACUAGACUUGAGGGAUCCCUUUGGAUUAAGAGUUGUGCUGGGGCAAUAAGUCCUCAUCCUAAAAGCAGAGGUAGUGUAGCUCUCCUGCAGUUACUGUGCUCUGAGGCUGCAGUGACAGAACAAAGUCCUUGGCCAUAACUGUAAUAAGGUGGAAAUGCCUUGCUCUCUAAUUGAGGUUCAGCCUGUUUUGAAUUUCACACUUGAAAAGGAAACUGAGAUGUUUGCAACAUGAUUCUUCAAAGCAUUUCUAAACGUGUGCUCUCUCCCCUCUGAAGUUUCACUUGGGUUGAAAGCAGCUUCAUUAUUUUUUCAUCUUCUCUCACUUAUGAUGCUGUUGUCUCAAGCUGUUUGAUCUAUCUUUCUUUUUGCUAACCCCAUUUCUACUCAGUCCAGUACAGAUUAAGGUGGGGGGAUGUGCUUUAAGGUCUCUGGAGCAAAAAACAUCUUUUUCACAUCGUGUUUAUGGUCUGAAGACAUGGUCACCUUUUACUGCUGCCUUUUUCCUUCAGUCAGUGUAGGCUUCCAAGCAUGUGGUGCUCAAUGUGAGUUAUAGCCACACUCAGCUGUCCUGCAUGCCUGUACGGAAUGCUUCUCUUCUAGAGUGCAUUGCUAUAAUGAGGAAUAUAGAUAGCAUAACAAAACCAGGGCAGUUCUCUAGAUGAUAGGAUUUAUUACCUGCUAGCUCAGUCUUAAGUGAGCUCGUUUUGCUUACCUGUGUUGAUAUGAACUACAUUUGAUAUAAAAUGCAGAAUCCUGUUCCCUAUUAUCAUGAAUAGAUAGCUCAAGUGCUAAGUUAAUGACAGGCAGACAGGUCAAGCCCAGGCCAAGGUUAGCAGUGGGACUUGAUGAGCAGCUACAAAGAAAGAAAUAGCUCCAUUUCUUUGGCAGGCUCUGGGAUGCUACGGUAUUAAUUUCAGUACACAUCUACACGCUGAAUGAAGAGGCUGAGAAAUGGUUUGGGCACUGGGAGCUCAUCAUUACACUGCAUCCUCUUCACAAUGCCCACGGGCAACCUGGUGGAUCCCCAUAUAGGGGGAUUCAGCUGCAGUUCACUGGUAGGUGACUGGGACCUGCUUGGGGAUAUCAAAUCCAUCUGUAGCUGUAAGGUGCUGUUGUAGCAGAUCUGCUUUCAGGUGGUAGCAAGCCUGUAUUUUACCAGGUCUUGACAGUGGGCAAAGCAGAGUAUAAAUACUUCUCAGCCAGUAAGCUGGGCUGUGCACCUCUUGUUCCCUAUGGCCAGCUGUGGAACAACUUUGGUUUUGUAGCUGUAAGAGCAGAGUGGGCCUGUGAGUGCUCUGACACGUGCAUGCAUGCCUUCAAAGUUGGUCUGUCGAGUCAAAUAAGUAAGCUUUUGCAAGAGAAGUGUAACAGCCUGUCAGAUAGUAUGUCUGCAUGCUUUUCUUCUAAUGCUGUAAAUGCAAAAGUACCCACAGAGGCUAACACAAAAUAAGGCUUCUCAUCUGUUUCUUUUCCUUUUCCUGUUCUAAUGUGCUUUGUCAAGAGUCAUAAACCAACGUUAUUCAAAUAAAAUGUUACAAGCACCAAUCUAAGAAUACUUUUAAGUGGUAUUAAAUAGCCUUUUGUGUGAUACAGAAGGGAAUGGUGUAAUGGAACUAAUACGGACACACGAAGUACUGCAUGAAGCUUUGGGGAUGGGGUUUGUAGCUUGUCUUGAUGUAUGUUGAAGUACUGGAGCAGUAAUACUGAACUGCUUUGCCUUGUGCUUAUCUUCUGCUGGAGGAUGUGGAGCUGUUCUCUUUGAUAUGAGUGGUUUAUAUUUCCUGUGGCACCUGCUAAUAAAACAAUGAAGGGGAAAUGUAAACUCCUACUGAUAUAUUGCUGUGAUUAAGGACCUAUCAGAAAGAUCUCAAAGCCUGUUAAAGCAAUCUUGAUCUUACAGGAGGUGAGUUCACAUGCUGUUAUUUACCCUACAAAGGGAAAGUCCAGGCUUUAUCUCAGAAACAUUUGUGCUAUUCAGCCUUGUGUAACAAAACGUAAAUAAACACAAUCUUUCACAUUAAAUCUUCCUCCUCCCUUUCGAAAUCAAUGUCUUGACUGUAACAAUAUAAAAUCAGAGAUGAGCUGACUGGCUGAAGAGGAGACUACAGAAGCCCAGGAUGCUGCAGGGUGCAAGGAAGUAUGAAAAUGAGCACCAAGGGCCUCGGUGAUAGGCUGCCCUGCCUGAGGAAGAGCAUAGCAAAGGUGUGCUGCAAGACCAAAGACAGCGCUCAGAAGCCUUAAACCUCAUCCUUGACACAGGAACACAAAAUAUGGCAGAAUAUUUCUUUUUUUUCUUUAACAAUAACAGAUGUUUAAAUGUGCUUUGGUGUCUUUGUAUAGACAUGUAUGUUCCACAUAUCCAGAAGUCAGUAAAGAAAUAAAUUACCAUCACGAAACAGGCAGCUAUGUAUUGUUGCCUGCUUACAUGUGUGCUCGUAGGACAUGACCAUUAAAUACAUAACCAUACUUGGUACAUACACACUUGAGUAUUUUUCAAUUAAGCAGAAUACAUAUCCUCUUGAUGCUUCUAUUCAUAAGUAAAGUUUAUUUGCCCUCAUUUCCAAGUGAAAUAUGACUUGAGUGCUUCAGUUCCUUGCCCUAGCUUUGCCAUAACCUAACACUUUAGAUGAGGUGUUGUUUUUGAAUAUAAAGCAUUACCUAGCUUUGGUCACCUAUACCCAUCCUCUGGCAGCUAUACAGUAUUCCCU
ensembl:lncRNA